rnacentral:rRNA from 1 species
ACCCGCUGAACUUAAGCAUAUCAAUAAGCGGAGGAAAAGAAACCAACAGGGAUUGCCCUAGUAACGGCGAGUGAAGCGGCAACAGCUCAAAUUUGAAAUCUGGCCCUCGGGUCCGAGUUGUAAUUUGUAGAGGAUGCUUUUGGUGCAGUGCCUUCCGAGUUCCUUGGAACAGGACGCCUUAGAGGGUGAGAGCCCCGUACGGUUGGACACUAAGCCUCUGUAAAGCUCCUUCGACGAGUCGAGUAGUUUGGGAAUGCUGCUCUAAAUGGGAGGUAAAUUUCUUCUAAAGCUAAAUACCGGCCAGAGACCGAUAGCGCACAAGUAGAGUGAUCGAAAGAUGAAAAGUACUUUGAAAAGAGGGUUAAAUAGCACGUGAAAUUGUUGAAAGGGAAGCGUUUAUGACCAGACCUUUGUCUAGCGGAUCAUCCGGUGUUCUUCACCGGUGCACUUCGCUAGGCUCAGGCCAGCAUCGGUUUCUGUAGGGGGAUAAAGACCAUGGGAACGUAGCUCCCUCUCAGGGGAGUGUUAUAGCCCUAGGUGUAAUACCUCUACGGGGACCGAGGUUCGCGCUUCUGCAAGGAUGCUGGCGUAAUGGUCAUCAACGACCCGUCUUGAAACACGGACC